GUCUAUAGCUACCCUGAACAAGCCCGAUCCAGUCUGAUCUCAGAAGCUAAGCAGGGUCAGGCCUGGUUAGUACUUGGAUGGGAGACCACCUAGGAAGACCAGGUGCUGUAGCCA
rnacentral:rRNA from 1 species